AGUGGUGGCACGUGGUGCCGGAGAAUAGGUAAGGGAGGUGGUGGUGGCCCGUGCGCGGCGGUGCGUGUCGGCAAACGGCGGUCUCAGGUGCGGUGUCCUCGGUUCCUCCGCCCGCAUGCGCAACGGGCUCGGGUCCUUACCCCGCUCCGCAGCGCCGACCGCAACCGUUUAAGUAAGGGCCGCCGCCGCCGAAGGCCGCUCCUCCGCUCGCUCGAGCCCCUCGAGGCCGCCCCCGAACAGCGGCCGCUCCGCUCCGGCUCCGCCGCCACGCGCCCGCGCUCCUCCGCCCCAGCUCCUCCGCGUCCUCCUGCGGCCCGCCCCCGAACCGCUCCCACUGCCGCCAACGCUCCCGAACCGCCGCUGGCCGCACGAGCGAACCCUCCUACCUCCGACGGAGCGGUCCCGAGCCCGCGCCGUCAUGCCGCAGCCCUGCAACGGCUACAGCGGCCCCGGCCCCGCCACCAAAUUGCCCGCUGCUCCUCCUCCACGACAGGAUCUCGGUCGCUGCCGCCGACGUCGAACUGCUACGCCCGCACUUGACGAACGAAGUCCCCGACGCCCGGCACUCGCCGCGACACGAACGCGCGCUCUGUACACAGACUAAACCUUUCUUAGUUAGGCAACUUCCUCUUCCGGUUACGUUGACGAGAGAUCUAUCCGUGAGCUCACAGGUAGGGUUACCUUACCAUGUUUAACGACGACCAUGACUUGUAACUGUCUAUUUUGAAUCGUAUAGGUCUUUAUGUAGUAAUAUUCGAUGAAGGUAUCUACGUAAAUCUAGUAUCGUAGACUUGAACUCCUAUCGUCUGUUUUUAAGUUUGUCUUUCGUUCGAUGCGAGGUAUAACACAAGAAAUAUAGGGUAUAGCUUAUUGUCCAAGCAUAAACUAACCAAAGAAGUGUCGUCGCGUACCUGUUAUUUUCUAGAGACAAAACUAUAUAAAGAUACGGUACUAAACAGAUAACGGUGACAAAGACUUAAAAAAAAACAGGUAUUUAGUACGCUGAGUUCAGUUAAACUCUAGCUUAAACAAGUACUCCAGUUUUGCCUUGGAACGCUGUCGAGGUCCAAUUGUAUGUAGGUAUGACUUAAAAGAACCGUAUUAACAUUUCUGACAAGAUACAUAAAAAUACCGUCGCUGCACUCCAAAAAUUAACCAUAACACGAACUUUGUUUCAACGUACUAUGUAUAAAGGAUGUUAGUAAAACUUUCCAAACGGGGGAAAAACAUCCAAUAUUCUAUCCAGGACUUAAGAACCGUCUAUAACAUACUUGCGGAUAAGUCUCAUAAAACGGGAACUAACGUUUCUAUAAUAGAAUGUCUAUUGGAAACUGAAGAGCUACUUGAGACAUGACAGUCAUAAACACGUGUUACGUGUAAGACUUUGAAUGUUGAUAAUCACUAGUUACUCUUUUCUUGUGAACUAGGAGCUAAGAAUUUGAUAGUAGAAUGAGUAUUGGUACAUGAUGAGUCACUUGAGAUAUAUAGAUAGUCAUCAACAUUCGUCAUGUUUCGCCACAGUUUAAGUCAUAAUAUACAUGUACUCAAACGAAUAAAGUCCGUUCGUUGUUGUUUGUCUGAAACAACAAAAAUCAGAUUACGCUAUAAACAACCCGCAGUGGCUCCUUACGGUCGUUUCCGCACUUCUUUAUGAACAUUAGUCACACUGUACAGCACACUCUACUUCCACCGUUUGGUAGUGAACUUCGGUUCGUACACCACCUAGGCGGUACCUACUACCUACCUGGCUACUCACAUCUUCAAACUCGACGCUUUGAAACACGCUAGCUCGAGAACCACGUUAAUUCGUAUACCGAAAACACUACACAGUACAUCCGUCACUAACUGAUAUAAAGAAAGGGAGAAUUUAAACAACAUUAUUCCAAUGGGAAAUGUCUUCUUUCUAACUUGGCGGAAAACCAAAUCCAUCUUCGUGGGAAACUACAAAAGGUUAAGAAACAUAAGUAAGAUAAUACACGAUAUUAUCAAUUAACGUAUAUAUACAUGAUACAAACCUAUAAGAGUGCGUUGU
rnacentral:rRNA from 1 species